UGGGGAAUCUUGCGCAAUGGGCGAAAGCCUGACGCAGCCAUGCCGCGUGAAUGAUGAAGGUCUUAGGAUUGUAAAAUUCUUUCACCGGGGACGAUAAUGACGGUACCCGGAGAAGAAGCCCCGGCUAACUUCGUGCCAGCAGCCGCGGUAAUACGAAGGGGGCUAGCGUUGCUCGGAAUUACUGGGCGUAAAGGGAGCGUAGGCGGAUAGUUUAGUCAGAGGUGAAAGCCCAGGGCUCAACCUUGGAAUUGCCUUUGAUACUGGCUAUCUUGAGUACGGAAGAGGUAUGUGGAACUCCGAGUGUAGAGGUGAAAUUCGUAGAUAUUCGGAAGAACACCAGUGGCGAAGGCGACAUACUGGUCCGUUACUGACGCUGAGGCUCGAAAGCGUGGGGAGCAAACAGGAUUAGAUACCCUGGUAGUCCACGCUGUAAACGAUGAGUGCUAGUUGUCGGCAGGCAUGCCUGUCGGUGACGCAGCUAACGCAUUAAGCACUCCGCCUGGGANACG
rnacentral:rRNA from 1 species